GAUGAAUGCUGGCGGCGUGCCUAACACAUGCAAGUCGAGCGGCAGCGCGAGUAGUUUACUACUUGGCGGCGAGCGGCGGACGGCUGAGUAACGCGUGGGAACGUGCCCCAAAGUGAGGAAUAACUGCCCGAAAGGGUGGCUAAUGCCGCAUAUGAUCUUCGGAUUAAAGGAUUUAUCCGCUUUGGGAGCGGCCCGCGUUAGAUUAGGUAGUUGGUAGGGUAAUGGCCUACCAAGCCGACGAUCUAUAGCUGGUCUGAGAGGAUGAUCAGCCAGACUGGGACUGAGACACGGCCCAGACUCCUACGGGAGGCAGCAGUGAGGAAUCUUCCACAAUGGGCGAAAGCCUGAUGGAGCAACGCCGCGUGAAGGAUGAAGGCCCUCGGGUUGUAAACUUCUUUUAUAAGUGAAGAAUAUGACGGUAACUUAUGAAUAAGCACCGGCUAACUACGUGCCAGCCGCCGCAGUAA
rnacentral:rRNA from 1 species